rnacentral:rRNA from 1 species
AUUGAACGCUGGCGGCAGGCCUAACACAUGCAAGUCGAGCGGAGAGGCAGACGGGUGCGUAAUGCCUAGGAAUCUGCCUGGUCGUGGGGGAUAACGUCCGGAAACGGGCGCUAAUACAGCAUCCUAUUAGCUGCGCCUAUGUCGGCUUAGCUAGUUGGUGGGGUAAAGGCCUACCAAGGCGACGAUCCCUAGCUGGUCUGAGAGGAUGACCAGCCAAACUGGAACUGAGAAACGGUCCAGACUCCUACGGGAGGCAGCAGUGGGGAAUAUUGCACAAUGGGCGCAAGCCUGAUGCAGCCAUGCCGCGUGUAUGAAGAAGGCCUUCGGGUUGUAAAGUACUUUCAGCGGGGAGGCGUUACCCGCAGAAGAAGCACCGGCUAACUCCGUGCCAGCAGCCGCGGUAAUAC